AGUCGAGCGGGGAAGGGUAGCUUGCUACCUGACCUAGCGGCGGACGGGUGAGUAAUGCUUAGGAAUCUGCCUAUUAGUGGGGGACAACAUUCCGAAAGGAAUGCUAAUACCGCAUACGCCCUACGGGGGAAAGCAGGGGAUCUUCGGACCUUGCGCUAAUAGAUGAGCCUAAGUCAGAUUAGCUAGUUGGUGGGGUAAAGGCCUACCAAGGCGACGAUCUGUAGCGGGUCUGAGAGGAUGAUCCGCCACACUGGGACUGAGACACGGCCCAGACUCCUACGGGAGGCAGCAGUGGGGAAUAUUGGACAAUGGGCGAAAGCCUGAUCCAGCCAUGCCGCGUGUGUGAAGAAGGCCUUUUGGUUGUAAAGCACUUUAAGCGAGGAGGAGGCUACUGGGAUUAAUACUCUUGGAUAGUGGACGUUACUCGCAGAAUAAGCACCGGCUAACUCUGUGCCAGCAGCCGCGGUAAUACAGAGGGUGCGAGCGUUAAUCGGAUUUACUGGGCGUAAAGCGUGCGUAGGCGGCUUUUUAAGUCGGAUGUGAAAUCCCUGAGCUUAACUUAGGAAUUGCAUUCGAUACUGGGAAGCUAGAGUAUGGGAGAGGAUGGUAGAAUUCCAGGUGUAGCGGUGAAAUGCGUAGAGAUCUGGAGGAAUACCGAUGGCGAAGGCAGCCAUCUGGCCUAAUACUGACGCUGAGGUACGAAAGCAUGGGGAGCAAACAGGAUUAGAUACCCUGGUAGUCCAUGCCGUAAACGAUGUCUACUAGCCGUUGGGGCCUUUGAGGCUUUAGUGGCGCAGCUAACGCGAUAAGUAGACCGCCUGGGGAGUACGGUCGCAAGACUAAAACUCAAAUGAAUUGACGGGGGCCCGCACAAGCGGUGGAGCAUGUGGUUUAAUUCGAUGCAACGCGAAGACCCUUACCUGGUCUUGACAUAGUAAGAACUUUCCAGAGAUGGAUU
rnacentral:rRNA from 1 species